GUUGUUUGGUUGUAUUACUGUAUGGUAUUGUUGUUCAAAGGAUGUCAGUAAUUAGUCCUAAAAUAUUUCCAGUUGAAAUUUUGUUAUACUUUUAUGUCUAGGCAUUUUAGUUUCAUACAAAAUUUGUUAAAAUAUGCUUUUUCCCUGAUCUGACUAGAUUCUCAAGUGGGUGUGUUACGCAUUUGGAAUGUUUCAAGAACAACACCUAUUGAUAAUCUUAAAUUAAAGAAAACAGGAUUUCACUGCUUACAUGUACUUAAUUCUCCUCCAAGAAAAAAGUUUUCAGUCCAAUCUCCAACCAAAAAUCAUUAUACAUCCUCAACAAGCGAAGCAGUUCCACCCCCAACUUUGACACAGAAUCAAGCAUUUUCUCUUCCUCCUGGUCAUGCAGUGUGUUGUUUCUUGGAUGGUGGAGUUGGACUUUAUGAUAUGGGAGCUAAGAAGUGGGAUUUUCUUAGAGACUUGGGACAUGUGGAAACUAUCUUUGACUGCAAAUUCAAACCUGACGAUCCUAAUCUUUUAGCAACAGCUUCAUUUGAUGGCACUAUAAAAGUCUGGGAUAUAAACACAUUAACAGCAGUGUACACAUCCCCGGGUAAUGAAGGUGUUAUUUAUUCCCUUUCUUGGGCUCCA
rnacentral:lncRNA from 1 species